UGGAUUUGAAAAUUGCUAGACAUUUCAAUAAUUUAAAAUUCUCUGAAGCAUCAAAUAGGCAUAUUCGUGCAAUUUCAACAGACAAUUUCCAUUAUUCAUGGAUUUAUAUUAAUGCAUGGAUAAACAUUAAUUCAAAAUCUGGUGGAGAACUAAAUUUACAAGUCUUUAACAUGUUCAAUGCAAAUAUGCAAUAUCAUGAGAUCUAGCAAUACUGAAAUGAAAUCAGAAUACAAGUUCCAACUUCUUAUAACAGCAACAUUAAACUUAA
rnacentral:misc_RNA from 1 species